rnacentral:rRNA from 1 species
UGGGGAAUAUUGCACAAUGGAGGGAACUCUGAUGCAGCGACGCCGCGUGAGUGAUGAAGGAAUUCGUUUCGUAAAACUCUGUUCUAUGGGAAGAAAAGGACUGUACCAUAGGAGAAAGCUCCGGCUAAAUACGUGCCAGCAGCCGCGGUAAUACGGAUGGAGCGAGCGUUGUCCGGAAUUAUUGGGCGUAAAGGGUGCGCAGGCGGCUUUACAAGUUGGAUGUGAAAUAUUGUGGCUCAACCACAAACGUGCAUCCAAAACUGCAAAGCUUGAGUUAAGGAGAGGUAAGUGGAAUUCCUGGUGUAGCGGUGGAAUGCGUAGAUAUCAGGAGGAAUACCGGUGGGGAAGGCGACUUACUGGACUUAAACUGACGCUCAGGCACGAAAGCGUGGGGAGCAAACAGG